rfam:Triticum aestivum genome assembly, contig: Triticum_aestivum_CS42_TGACv1_scaffold_591789_7BS
GAUAUACUCCCUCCGUCCGAAAAUACUUGUCAUCAAAAUGAACAAAAAGGGAUGUAUGUAGAACCAAAAUACAUCUAGAUACAUCCCCUUUUAUUCAUUUUGGUGACAAGUAUUUCCAGAUGGAGGGAGUAUAUG